CACGUAGAUAAUCUACCUUCGAGCCUGGGAUAACUAUCCGAAAGGGUAGCUAAUACCGGAUAAAGUUGAUUAACAUAAGUUAAUUCAUGAAAGAUAGCCUCUGAUUUAAGCAAUUGUUUGGAGAUGAGUCUGCGGACCAUUAGUUAGUUGGUGGGGUAACGGCCUACCAAGACUGCGAUGGUUAGCUGGUCUGAGAGGAUGAUCAGUCACACUGGAACUGGAACACGGUCCAGACUCCUACGGGAGGCAGCAGUGAGGAAUUUUGCGCAAUGGGGGUAACCCCUGACGCAGCAACGCCGCGUGAGUGAAGAAGGCCUUUGGGUCGUAAAGCUCUGUCAACUGGGAAGAAGUUAUUGCUAUUUAAUAGAUAGUAGUAUU
rnacentral:rRNA from 1 species